rnacentral:tRNA from 1 species
CCAGCCGGUGGCGUAGAGGGCUGGGAUGGGUUCACCAUUGGUGGUGGUGACGUGGGCGCCGUCGUUGGGGAUGGUGUGGGUGGU